rnacentral:tRNA from 2 species
GGGGGCGUGGCGGAAUUGGUAGACGCACUGGAUUUAGGUUCCAGCGCCGCAAGGUGUAAGAGUUCGAGUCUCUUCGCCCCCACCA